UACGAAGGGGGCUAGCGUUGUUCGGAAUUACUGGGCGUAAAGCGUGCGCAGGCGGUUAUGCAAGACAGAUGUGAAAUCCCCGGGCUCAACCUGGGAACUGCAUUUGUGACUGCAUAGCUGGAGUGCGGCAGAGGGGGAUGGAAUUCCGCGUGUAGCAGUGAAAUGCGUAGAUAUGCGGAGGAACACCGAUGGCGAAGGCAAUCCCCUGGGCCGUAACUGACGCUGAGGAGCGAAAGCAUGGGGAGCGAACAGG
rnacentral:rRNA from 1 species